ensembl:misc_RNA Metazoa_SRP Metazoan signal recognition particle RNA
GCCGGGCGUGGUGGCGCAUGCCUGUAAUCCCAGCUACUUGGGAGGCUGAGUCAGGAGAAUCACUUGAACCCAGGAGGAGGAGGUUGUAGUGAGCCGAGAUCGCGCCACUGCACUCCUGGAGUAAAGUGGUGCGAUCUCGGCUCACCUCAACCUCUGUCUCCUGGGUUCAAGGGAUUCUCCUGCCUCAG